rnacentral:lncRNA from 1 species
CUUUCUUUUCAUCCAUCCUGUACCUCCUUGGAAGAGGGCAGAAAAAUAUGCUUUUCCUUGCAAGAGAGCAGACAAAGGCAAAGAGAAAGCAAACCGUAUAAGAAGUCUGGUUUAAGGUUCCCUUGGCUUGACCAAGAAAUCAUUUCACCAAACGUCAGUCAGACUAUCAGGUACCUGGAUCAACCCUAAAGCUCACAAUGUGAUGUGGCCUUCUCAGCAAAGCUACCCAGUCCAACGUGCUCUGAGAUGUGACAUGACAAGGAAGCAAUGCAGCAGAGGGGGCCUUCAGAAGAUCAUAGUUGACUGCCACCAAUGAAGCUCUCAUAUUAAAAUCACAGGGAAGACGCUGAGCACCACUUUGUAGCCUGAAACUG